rnacentral:rRNA from 1 species
GAACGGGUGUACGGGAUGGAAGAUUUCGGUCGGAAGCCCCGUGCAUGAGUGGCGGACGGGUGAGUAACGCGUGGGCAACCUGCCCUGUACAGGGGGACAACACUUAGAAAUAGGUGCUAAUACCGCAUAACGGGGGGAGCCGCAUGGCUUUCCCCUGAAAACUCCGGUGGUACAGGAUGGGCCCGCGUCUGAUUAGCUGGUUGGCAGGGUAACGGCCUACCAAGGCGACGAUCAGUAGCCGGCCUGAGAGGGCGGACGGCCACACUGGGACUGAGACACGGCCCAGACUCCUACGGGAGGCAGCAGUGGGGGAUAUUGCACAAUGGGGGGAACCCUGAUGCAGCGACGCCGCGUGGGUGAAGGAGCGUUUCGGCGCGUAAAGCCCUAUCGGCAGGGAAGAAGGAGGACGGUACCUGACUAAGAAGCCCCGGCUAACUACGUGCCAGCAGCCGCGGUAAUACGUAGGGGGCAAGCGUUAUUCGGAUUUACUGGGUGUAAAGGGGGCGCAGACGGCAGCGCAAGCCAGGAGUGAAAGCCCGGGGCCCAACCCCGGGACUGCUCUUGGAACUGCGCGGCUGG